AUUGAACGCUGGCGGCAGGCCUAACACAUGCAAGUCGAGCGGCAGCGGGACCUUCGGGUUGCCGGCGAGCGGCGGACGGGUGAGUAAUGCCUAGGAAUCUGCCUGUUAGUGGGGGAUAACGCGGGGAAACUCGCGCUAAUACCGCAUACGUCCUACGGGAGAAAGCGGGGGCUCUUCGGACCUCGCGCUAACAGAGUAGCCUAGGGCGGAUUAGGUAGUUGGUGGGGUAAUGGCCCACCAAGGCGACGAUCCGUAACUGGUCUGAGAGGAUGAUCAGUCACACUGGAACUGAGACACGGUCCAGACUCCUACGGGAGGCAGCAGUGGGGAAUAUUGGACAAUGGGCGAAAGCCUGAUCCAGCCAUGCCGCGUGUGUGAAGAAGGUCUUCGGAUUGUAAAGCACUUUAAGUCGGGAGGAAGGGCUGUAGGCUAAUACCUUGCAGUUUUGACGUUACCGACAGAAUAAGCACCGGCUAACUUCGUGCCAGCAGCCGCCGCGG
rnacentral:rRNA from 1 species